AAAGGGGAAAAAGGGUUUUCGUUCUCAAUUUCUCACGAUCGUUCCAGUUCCACGACCAUGGUUCCCAUUAGCGCUUCAAUCCAAUCUCCUUCUACGCCAUCAUUUCGCGUUCAAUCCAUGCAUCAAUGCAGAUUUUAGAUCACAUUCCACUCUUCAAGUAUCUCUUGGCUUCAGUAUCUCCACCCAGAUUUCAACGAUGUUCAAAUCAAAUCUAACACAACUUGUCCUCGCAAACAUCUUACUAGUUGAGCUUCAUUUUUCGGUGCUAAAUCGAUAAAUUUUUUGUUGAUUUUGUUUAUUUUCUCAACUCGCUGAAUCUGUAAUGUGUUUGUUGUUUUUCCAAUUCUAGGUUUUUUUUUGUGAUUUGUGUUGCUGUUGUGGUGGUUGAAAAGCAUGUGGAAAUUGACAAGUUUUUUCAGUUCUAGGUAAGGCAAAAUAAUGUUGUUUUCAGCUGAUUAUCUUAUGUAUUGUUCAAUGGUUUCAUUCUCAAUUUCAGCUUAUGCUUUCCCGCUAAGUACAAAUUCAGUUUUCCGAAGCACUAACUUCAAAUGACAGUGUAUUCAUGCUUCGGUUUCAACUGCGAUUGGGGAUGCAUUUUUCUGUAUCUUACAACAAUAUAAGGGUUUAUAGGCUGCAGUCGUGAGAAUUGGUCUAAUAGAGAUGUUAGUGUUUUCAAAGUUGUUUCAAUUUGUUAAAGAAAGUACCUUAUUUGAGAGUUGUGGUGUAGCUGACCUUAUCACAACAUGCAGUAAGAAAAAUGAAUUAUACAAUCCUAUUUUUUAGUUUGCUUGAUUCUGGUUGUACCACAGUUUGUGGAAGAAAAAGAGGCCUUCAACCCGUCGGUAGCUGCAAGUAUAUAAUCACAAGGCUAACACCGGUGACAAAUCAUUUGAUUUAACAGCUUCAGGUUAUUGAUGAAUGUAUUACGGUUCAAUGAUAUGAAACUAUUAUGUUUGUUUGAUAUGAAAUCAUAAUUGUUGUUUGAUUAUUAAUUUUAUGAAAUUAGUAUGGUUUAUAAAUUCUGAAUAUUGUCAUUGCUAAGCAUACAGAAGGACACAUGAUUUAGUUUUAAUGGUUGGAAUGUUAUACCAGCAUGUUUGGAUAUGUGGUUUGAAAGAUCUUGGUUAUUGAACUUUUCAUACGGAGAUUUUUGAAAAUUUUUAAAAUAUGCACUUGGUUAAAAUGUGUUUAUACUAGCCAUUGAAAAAUGAAUAAACAAGCUUCAACUUCGUCGGAAUAGCAUUGCAUUUAUUCUGAUAGAAAAAUUAAGAGUUCUAUUAUGAUACCGAUUUUCUAGUUGAAUAGUCUAUCCUUAAUCUUUUGUGCUCCAAGCAGUAGAUGAUGUUGGUGAAGAUGUGAAAGCGACUAAAGCGUGAGUAGCAUCAACUUUUCUACUAUUUCUUUUUCCGUUUCUCUAUUUUGUUUGUUUAUCGUUUGGCUUUUUGGUAUGUUUUUUCUCUAAUUAAUUAAAUCUGAAUCUUGAUCUAACUUUAUUGAUUUUUUUGUUGGUGAUUUUUUUUCUUCAGGAAUCCAACAAUAUCUGAGAGUGAAAACCAGUUGAAAGAGAAGUUUCAAAUAGAUCUGAUGGUGCUUAUUCUUUUCUUCAUCCACUUCUUUUUUAAUUUGAGGGAAGUUAUCUAGCUCUCUUAUGAAAGUCAUUAAAUAUUUGGUAUAUGCUGACAAAUGUCUGCUGUCUAAUGAAGAUUCUAGUAUUUAACUUCAUUUUAGGUUCAUCUAGUCUUGCUACAGUAAGAAAAGUGUUCUGAAAUCUAACUUGUGCCACUAUCUAACUUGUGCCCCUCCAAGCUGUAAACCUGGCUACAUUUCUUGUGAGGUGAGUGUGCUGCUACUUUCUUAUGUAUUCGUUUGAUCUAUGCCACCUUCUAUGAAACACCGACACAGAAGUGAUUACAACUCACAUAACUAAUCUUUAGUUAUGUUAACACAUAUUAAAAGAACCAGUCUCGAUUCUGCAUAUAUGGCUAAUUUAUUUGCCAAAAAAAUUUUCUUAUGCAUAUAUGAUGAUAUCCCUUACGAGCAGGCUGAAGAGCUAUGUUAUCGCCUUUGACAUUGAAAAUUGUUCUUUUGUCACUUUAUGUAUUCUAAAUACCUGCAUCAUUUUGUCAUGUAAAAAUGAUUUAUUUCCUUAGUAAAAGUCCCAGGAACUAAAAUCCUUUACUGUGCAGAAGAUAUUUAUAAGAAAAGGUGAGUUUGAGCAAGAUAUAUUCAUAUGACAAUGAAUGAUGAUACUCCUACCACACAUACAUACACCUUCAACUAUAGUUUAUGAACUAAAAAUAUAAAUUUAUCGUUAUCUACUAAUUUCUAAAUGCCAGUGUAUUAGUCUUAUGUUUCAAUUAUAGAAGUGAGUGCAGUUAAUAUUAAGUUAUUUUCUCUUAUCAAUUUGAAAAACAAAAAGAAGUGUUGAAUUACUGAACAGAUUUUGUGCAGCUAUUUUCAUAUUUUUUGUUAUGCUACCACUUUUGUGCUUGAAUAUUUAGUAUUUUAACGAAGGGUUGAAUUUUAUUAGAGGUGUCUUACAUUCUAUUUUAAUUUUUGUCCAAUGCCUUAAACUUUGAAACGUGAUGACUCUUGCCUUUCGCUAUUUUCUCGUCAUAUUUUGUAUUUGACUUGUUUUUUGAUAUGCAUGAUAAACAUUAAGUAUAUAAUAUCAUAUGAUUGUAUCAUUUUGUCAUAGUGCUUAGUGCUUACUCAUGGUUGAAACAAGACAUUGAGAAUGUGGUGGUUGUCCACUAUGAGGCUGGAAUGGCUAGGACAUGGUAGAGUAUUUCAAGUUUUCUACAAUUGUUAAGGGUUAAUAGUUGCUAAGCAUUUUCUUGAAGAUAUGUUGAAUGAGCUUGAUAAUUUCCAUCUAUGUCUUGUUGCACUAUUUAGUUGUAUUUAGAUUUUGAUUAAAUAUAUUGCAGCUAUUCCCAACUAUUGAGGAGUAAAUGGAUUAUCAUCAUCACAAAAUAUAUAUUGAUGGAAAAGGACUUGUUCUACCUACUCAGAGUAGGCAUGUCAAGUAUUUCAAACGGAUCAUGUUAACAACAACAAAAUCGAAUUUGGAAAUGAUGCCAAGAAGACUAAUUUCGAAGAUAAAAUGAGAACAAGAUUCAAAUUUACGGAAAGCUCCACUACCACAUAUGGCUCCAUCUAUUCUUUGUUCGUAGAAGAUGAUUCAGAAGACUUUUCACGAAACAUGGCCUUGAGCAUUCCUUUUACUGGCUUCUUUUGUUGUGCCGCGAAAGCAGGUGGCUUCUCCUGAGGUAAUAUAUCAACAACUAUGCAGGUUGUAUCGUCUCUAUGUCCCUUGGCUGGUAAAGCUUCCUGAAGAUAGAAAGAGAAGUGAGAAUACAGGAAAAAAAUGUGCAACUAAUAGUUGCUUGGAGUACCAUUAUUAUAGUUUUCAGGAGAAAUUAAUGCAAACAAGGUGUCUUAUGAUGUUGAAGUCGGAGAUUACUAUUACACCCAAUAUUGCAACAGUCCCACAAAAAAAUAUCAUAAAAUGUUCCUAAAGUAGUAUAUUUAUCUCACUUUUACAAUCUGUGGUGCAGCAGCCUCUGCUGACAUGCCACGACAACAAUCAAGAGCCACUUCUGCAGGUAAAGAAUCCCAAACACCGCCACUGCAGAUAACAAGCCGGCCUCCAGCAGUGGACAGCUGAAUAAACAGAAACAAAUUAAACUCUCCAUAAGGGCUGAUGUGGAUGAUGAUGAUUAUUAUGCCACCACUGCUCCGCCUCAAUCUGUUUGGUGUGUUUCCAACCCACAACAUAGUGAGGACAAAGUAGAGAAUUUUGAGGUUUUUUUCUUAAUGUCUUGUUACUCAUUUUAUAUCCUUUAUCUGUUUGGAUUUGGCAUAUUGGUUUUCUUGAAUGAAAUGAAAUAUUUUCUGUAUAUAUGCAAAUUUACUUUAGGUGGUAUGUUGACAACCAGCCCUUACGAAUGAGUUAAAUUGAUUUUUCAUGUGUUUAAGGUGAUGCCUGUAUAAGGACUUAAU